GACGAACGCUGGCGGCGUGCCUAAUACAUGCAAGGAGAACGCUGAAGCUUGGUGCUUGCACCGAGCGGAUGAGUUGCGAACGUGUGAGUAACGCGUAGGUAACCUGCCGGGUAGCGGGGGAUAACUAUUGGAAACGAUAUCUAAUACCGCAUAAGAGUAGAUGUUGCAUGACAUUUGCUUAAAAGGUGCAAUUGCAUCACUACCAGAUGGACCUGCGUUGUAUUAGCUAGUUGGUGAGGUAACGGCUCACCAAGGCAACGAUACAUAGCCGACCUGAGAGGGUGAUAGGCUAAACUGAGACUGAGAAACGCCCCAGCCUCCUCCGGGAGGCAGCAGUCCGGACUCUACGGCACUGGACGGCAGUCUGCCCCAGCAACGCCGCGUGCGUGAGGCAGGUCUCCGGAUCGUAAAGCUCUGUUGUAAGAGACGAACGGGUGUGAGAGUGGAAAGUUCACCCUCUGCCGGUAUCUUAACAGAACGGGACGGCUACCCACGUG
rnacentral:rRNA from 1 species